rnacentral:rRNA from 1 species
CCUACGGGAGGCAGCAGUGGGGAAUAUUGCACAAUGGGCGAAAGCCUGAUGCAGCAACGCCGCGUGAGGGAUGACGGCCUUCGGGUUGUAAACCUCUUUUAGUAGGGAAGAAGCGAAAAGUGACGGUACCUGCAGAAAAAGCACCGGCUAACUACGUGCCAGCAGCCGCGGUAAUACGUAGGGUGCAAGCGUUGUCCGGAAUUAUUGGGCGUAAAGAGCUCGUAGGCGGUUUGUCGCGUCUGCUGUGAAAUCCCGAGGCUCAACCUCGGGCUUGCAGUGGGUACGGGCGGACUAGAGUGCGGUAGGGGAGAUUGGAAUUCCUGGUGUAGCGGUGGAAUGCGCAGAUAUCAGGAGGAACACCGAUGGCGAAGGCAGAUCUCUGGGCCGUAACUGACGCUGAGGAGCGAAAGCAUGGGGAGCGAACAGGAUUAGAUACCCUGGUAGUCCAUGCCGUAAACGUUGGGCGCUAGAUGUAGGGACCUUUCCACGGUUUCUGUGUCGUAGCUAACGCAUUAAGCGCCCCGCCUGGGGAGGUACGGCCGCGAGACGAAACUACAAUAGAGUAGACGCGNGAGACGUGCCGACGACGACGACGAGGGAGUAGG